rnacentral:rRNA from 1 species
UACGUAGGGGGCAAGCGUUGUCCGGAUUUAUUGGGCGUAAAGAGCGUGUAGGCGGCCAGGUAGGUGGGUUGUGAAAACUGGAGGCUCAACCUUCAGACGUCGACCCAAACCCCCUGGCUAGAGUCCGGAAGAGGAGAGUGGAAUUCCUGGUGUAGCGGUGAAGUGCGCAGAUAUCAGGAAGAACACCCGUGGCGAAAGCGGCUCUCUGGAACGGUACUGACGCUGAGACGCGAAAGCGUGGGGAGCGAACAGG